GUUUACAGCCAAACCACCCUGAAUGUGCCCGAUCUCCUAUGAUCUCGGAAGCUAAGCAAGGUCUGGCCUGGUUAGUUCUUGGAUGAGAGACCACCUAAGAAUACCAGGUGCUGUUAGGU
rnacentral:rRNA from 1 species